GACGAACGCUGGCGGCGUGCCUAAUACAUGCAAGUAGAACGCUGAAGAGAGGAGCUUGCUCUUCUUGGAUGAGUUGCGAACGGGUGAGUAACGCGUAGGUAACCUGCCUUGUAGCGGGGGAUAACUAUUGGAAACGAUAGCUAAUACCGCAUAACAAUGGAUGACACAUGUCAUUUAUUUGAAAGGGGCAAUUGCUCCACUACAAGAUGGACCUGCGUUGUAUUAGCUAGUAGGUGAGGUAAUGGCUCACCUAGGCGACGAUACAUAGCCGACCUGAGAGGGUGAUCGGCCACACUGGGACUGAGACACGGCCCAGACUCCUACGGGAGGCAGCAGUAGGGAAUCUUCGGCAAUGGGGGCAACCCUGACCGAGCAACGCCGCGUGAGUGAAGAAGAUUUUCGGAUCGUAAAGCUCUGUUGUAAGUCAAGAACGGGUGUGAGAGUGGAAAGUUCACACUGUGACGGUAGCUUACCAGAAAGGGACGGCUAACUACGUG
rnacentral:rRNA from 1 species